rnacentral:lncRNA from 1 species
AUGUCGGUAUCUGUCAAGCGCUCACUACGCGCGGGGCACCGUUCUGAGCGCCGGGGUGGACGCGGGGGAAUCGGGUCGUCGCCCGUGGGGCUCACGGUCUUCACCCCCGUUUUACGGACGAGGCGACCGGGGCCCGGAGAAGCGGGGCGACUCGCCCACGGUCCCGCGGCUGCCGCGUGGCGGAGCCGGGAUUCGAACCCGCGAGCUCCGCCUCCGAAGCCCGGGCUCCUGCCGCCGCGCCGCGCCGCUUCUCUACGGAGGCGGAGGAGAGGAAGGGGCUCCCUCCGUUCGGCCCCGUCGCCGGGAGGGGAACGGGCUCCCGCGGCCCCGAAGGGCCCGGACGCUUCCGUGCCGUCCGGCGGGACCGACGGGGCGGCGCGGCCCGGCGGUCGGGGCCCCGGCCGGCGGGGGGGCCCGGGUUCUGAUCCCGCCUCCGCCGCCCGGCCCCGGAGGAGCCGCCGGGCCCCUCUCCGCCUCGGUUCCCUCGUCCGUGAACCGGGGGGCCGGGGGGGACCGGGACCGCCCCGCCGCUCGGUACGGCGCCCGGCACGCGGUGGGCGCCUCCGCGACGGGAUUCGCCGGGCGCUCCCUCUUCCGAGCGCUCGGGAGAAGGGAGGGGGCCGAUCCCCUGGACCCGCGGCGUCUACCGGGCGCGCGCGGAGCGCCGCGCGGAGAUCGGCGGACACGUCGGCCGCCCGCAACGGGCCUCCGGCCGCCGGGCCGAUCCGUCGGUGGCGCUCGCGGGGCGCCGGCCGCGUCCGGAGCGCCGUCCCCGGCGCUUGGGCUCAACCCGGCCGACGCGGGGCUCGCCGUCUGAACGCGAGGUCUCUCGUCCCCGCGGCAGAGGGGAGGGGACCGAGGCGCGGAGAGGUGGGGCGACCCGCCCGCGGUCGCCCGGCUCCCGGGCGGCGGAGCCGGGAUAGGAGGGGCGGGGCGGGGAGGGCGUCCCGGACGAGGCGCGAUCGCCCCCUCUCCUCGUUUAAGCCCGAGAGAAGCACGGCCUUCCAGACGCGAGGGGGGAGGGGGCUGCCGUCGGGCGGGGAAAAAACCGAAACUCAGAAAACGGGUCAGUCGCCCGCCAGGGAUUUCCCCCCCCCCCCCCCCCCCGCCCGUCUUCCGGCAGAGCGGAAGCGGGCCGCCCCCCGACCCAGAAGGGCGGACUCUCCCCGCCGCGGGAGGGAGGGAGGGAGGGCGACGGGAGAGACGGAGACGGAGGGAGGGACCCGCGGCCCUCGCGCCGCCCCGCGUCCGCUCUGA